rnacentral:rRNA from 1 species
CUACGGGAGGCAGCAGUGGGGAAUUUUGGACAAUGGGCGAAAGCCUGAUCCAGCAAUGCCGCGUGUGUGAAGAAGGCCUUCGGGUUGUAAAGCACUUUUGUCCGGAAAGAAAUCCUAGGCUCUAAUACAGUCGGGGGAUGACGGUACCGGAAGAAUAAGCACCGGCUAACUACGUGCCAGCAGCCGCGGUAAUACGUAGGGUGCGAGCGUUAAUCGGAAUUACUGGGCGUAAAGCGUGCGCAGGCGGUUUGCUAAGACCGAUGUGAAAUCCCCGGGCUCAACCUGGGAACUGCAUUGGUGACUGGCAGGCUAGAGUAUGGCAGAGGGGGGUAGAAUUCCACGUGUAGCAGUGAAAUGCGUAGAGAUGUGGAGGAAUACCGAUGGCGAAGGCAGCCCCCUGGGCCAAUACUGACGCUCAUGCACGAAAGCGUGGGGAGCAAACAGGAUUAGAUACCCUGGUAGUCCACGCCCUAAACGAUGUCAACUAGUUGUUGGGGAUUCAUUUCCUUAGUAACGUAGCUAACGCGUGAAGUUGACCGCCUGGGGAGUACGGUCGCAAGAUUAAAACUCAAAGGAAUUGACGGGGACCCGCACAAGCGGUGGAUGAUGUGGAUUAAUUCGAUGCAACGCGAAAAACCUUACCUACCCUUGACAUGGUCGGAAUCCCGCUGAGAGGUGGGAGUGCUCGAAAGAGAACCGGCGCACAGGUGCUGCAUGGCUGUCGUCAGCUCGCGUCGUGAGAUGUUGGGUUAAGUCCCGCAACGAGCGCAACCCUUGUCCUUAGUUGCUACGCAAGAGCACUCUAAGGAGACUGCCGGUGACAAACCGGAGGAAGGUGGGGAUGACGUCAAGUCCUCAUGGCCCUUAUGGGUAGGGCUUCACACGUCAUACAAUGGUCGGAACAGAGGGUUGCCAACCCGCGAGGGGGAGCUAAUCCCAGAAAACCGAUCGUAGUCCGGAUUGCACUCUGCAACUCGAGUGCAUGAAGCUGGAAUCGCUAGUAAUCGCGGAUCAGCAUGCCGCGGUGAAUACGUUCCCGGGCCUUGUACACACCG